GAAAUAUUUAAUAUACAUGUUGCAGAAGUUAUACAAGCUGGUUUGGUCUACAUGUCUUGACAGGAAAACAAGAAGAAGACAAGAAGAAACAGAAUUUUUGCAUGUGAAAAAGAAGAAGACAAGAAGAAACAAAAGCGGUGCAUCUCCUCCUGAUUGUUUCGUUUGAUGAUAUGCAGAGAGCCAUGCUUACUUUCUCUUCAAUUGCUUUGGAUAGAAUGCUAGAGCCAGGUGCUAGGAGUUAGACGAUUUGGAUUUAUCUGUACUGUUUUUUUCUUUCAGGCCUUUGAAACUAUACAAAAGAUACUGAGCAUGAGCAAAAACAAGAGGGUUGAUGUUGUUUUACUGGACCGUAUAAUGACAUAGUUAGAAAAUAGGAAUUCAUCAUCUUUAUCGGUUGAAACUGAAGCUUUUUCCUGAUGAAUCAACGGAAACAAAACCGUAUGCUGAAACACAGCGGCACUUGGAGUUGCUUGGAAAAAUUAUUCAGCAGAUUGUCCGAACAGAAAGUACAUCUAAAAUCUGGGGAUUAUAUGCGAGAUGGAGUAGAAUCAAAAGAAAUCUUAUGGUAUGCAGCGAGGCACUGUUUAUGAUCGUCAAGUUGGAUACUUUAGUUUUGAUGGGAAAAUUGGUAACGCUCAUUCAUAACAGCAAAAAGAUUGAGAAAUCUUCCAUACACAUUUGAUCAUACACAUUUGAUCAUAUUACAUGUUUUAAAUUUUUUUUUUAUUCCUAAGGACUCCAAAUUGGAGAACA